AGAGUUAUUUCACUGAGCAAUGUUUCAUUUCUGAUUUGAAGCCAACCAGACUGAAAAGACUGCAUCUCGGACCAUGGAAGGGACACUGAAGAAACGCUGUCAUGAUAUUUAUAUCCCACCUACUCAGAGGACCAAUUGAGAAACUCCAUAUGGACUCCAGUUUGCCACUAGCCCACAGAAUUGAAGUUUCUUAGCUGGCUUAAAUUAAGAAUUUUGGAUAUGAAAAAUGAAGGUCGCAUAAUUUGGGUGAAUGUCCAGGUUAUAAAACCAAAUGAAACAGAACCAGGACUCCAGACUAUGGCUGUUCACCAAAAUUUCCCCCCAUCAACAGUCUCUUCUGCAUUUUUUCAUAUGAAUUUUGU